rnacentral:rRNA from 1 species
UACGUAGGUGGCAAGCGUUGUCCGGAUUUAUUGGGUUUAAAGGGUGCGUAGGCGGCCUAUUAAGUCAGUGGUGAAAUAUUUCAGCUUAACUGGAAUUGUGCCAUUGAUACUGAUGGGCUUGAGUACAGAUGAGGUAGGCGGAAUUGACGGUGUAGCGGUGAAAUGCUUAGAUAUCGUCAAGAACACCUAUAGCGAAGGCAGCUUACUAGGCUGUAACUGACGCUGAGGCACGAAAGUGUGGGGAUCAAACAGGAUUAGAAACCCCUGUAGUCC